UACAGAGGGUGCGAGCGUUGUCCGGAAUCACUGGGCGUAGAGGGCGCGUAGGUGGCGACCCAAGUCGAUGGUGAAAGCUCGCCGCUCAACGGCGAGUCGGCCACCGAUACUGGGUUGCUGGAGCACUGUAGAGGCUCAUGGAAUUCCGGGUGUAGCGGUGGAAUGCGUAGAGAUCCGGAAGAACACCGGUGGCGAAGGCGGCCUGCUGGGCAGUGGCUGACACUGAGGCGCGACAGCGUGGGGAGCAAACAGG
rnacentral:rRNA from 1 species